rnacentral:lncRNA from 1 species
AAGAAUCACUGUUUCUUAUAGCGGUGGUUUAAACAGAGGUGCAAACAGCAAGCGGAUCUUGUCGCCUUUGGGGGGCUGUGGCCGUGCCCCUCAAAGUGAAUUUGGAGGUUCCACAACUCUAGUGGCCAGUGACUGCAGGGACCCAGGCCUUGGGCUAUCUCGCUUCCCCACCACCACCUUCCCGUGAGCCCCGAGCCCUCA